GACGAACGCUGGCGGCGUGCUUAACACAUGCAAGUCGAACGGAAAGGCCCUGCUUGCAGGGUGCUCGAGUGGCGAACGGGUGAGUAACACGUGGGUGAUCUGCCCUGCACUUCGGGGUAAGCUUGGGAAACUGGGUCUAAUACCGGAUAGGACUACGGCCUGCAUGGGUUGUGGUGGAAAGCGCGGUGUGUAAAAAGCACUGUGCGGUGUGGGAUGGGCCCGCGGCCUAUCAGCUUGUUGGUGGGGUGAUGGCCUACCAAGGCGACGACGGGUAGCCGGCCUGAGAGGGUGUCCGGCCACACUGGGACUGAGAUACGGCCCAGACUCCUACGGGAGGCAGCAGGUGGGAAUAUUGCGCAAUGGGCGCAAGCCUGAUGCAGCGACGCCGCGG
rnacentral:rRNA from 1 species